GACGAACGCUGGCGGCAUGCCUAAUACAUGCAAGUCGAGCGGACUUGAAGAGAAGCUUGCUUCUCUGAUAGUUAGCGGCGGACGGGUGAGUAACACGUAGGCAACCUGCCCUCAAGCUUGGGACAACUACCGGGAAACGGUAGCUAAUACCGAAUAGUUUGUUUUCUUCUCCUGAAGAGAACUGGAAAGACGGAGCAAUCUGUCACGUUGGGGAUGGGCCUGCGGCGCAUUAGCUAGUUGGGUGGGGUAACGGCUCACCAA
rnacentral:rRNA from 1 species